rnacentral:rRNA from 1 species
UACGUAGGGUGCGAGCGUUGUCCGGAAUUACUGGGCGUAAAGAGCUUGUAGGUGGUUUGUCGCGUUGUCCGUGAAAACUCACAACUCAAUUGUGGGCGUGCGGGCGAUACGGGCAGACUGGAGUACUGCAGGGGAGACUGGAAUUCCUGGUGUAGCGGUGGAAUGCGCAGAUAUCAGGAGGAACACCGGUGGCGAAGGCGGGUCUCUGGGCAGUAACUGACGCUGAGGAGCGAAAGCGUGGGGAGCGAACAGG